UACGUAGGGUGCAAGCGUUAAUCGGAAUUACUGGGCGUAAAGCGUGCGCAGGCGGUUUUGUAAGUUUGUCGUGAAAUCCCCGGGCUCAACCUGGGAAUGGCGAUGAAGACUGCAAGGCUAGAAUCUGGCAGAGGGGGGUGAGAAUUCCACGUGUGAGCAGUGAAAUGCGUAGAGAUAGUGGGAGGAACACCGAUGGCGAAGGCAGCCCCCUG
rnacentral:rRNA from 1 species